rnacentral:rRNA from 1 species
CCUACGGGUGGCAGCAGUGAGGAAUAUUGGUCAAUGGACGAGAGUCUGAACCAGCCAAGUAGCGUGAAGGAUGACUGCCCUAUGGGUUGUAAACUUCUUUUAUAUGGGAAUAAAAUGUUCCACGUGUGGGAUUUUGUAUGUACCAUAUGAAUAAGGAUCGGCUAACUCCGUGCCAGCAGCCGCGGUAAUACGGAGGAUGCGAGCGUUAUCCGGAUUUAUUGGGUUUAAAGGGUGCGAAGGCGGAGGUGCAAGUCAGCGGUCAAAUUGCGGGGCUCAACCCCGUACUGCCGUUGAAACUGGAUCCCUUGAGUGCGCGAGAAGUAUGCGGAAUGCGUGGUGUAGCGGUGAAAUGCUUAGAUAUCACGAAGAACCCCGAUUGCGAAGGCAGUUCACUGGACUGCAACUGACACUGAGGCUCGAAAGUGUGGGUAUCAAACAGGAUUAGAUACCCUUGUAGUC